UGGGGAAUUUUGGACAAUGGGGGAAACCCUGACCCAGCAACGCCGCGUGAAGGAUGAAGUAUUUCGGUAUGUAAACUUCGAAAGAAUAGGAAGAAUAAAUGACGGUACUAUUUAUAAGGUCCGGCUAACUACGUGCCAGCAGCCGCGGUAAUACGUAGGGACCAAGCGUUGUUCGGAUUUACUGGGCGUAAAGGGCGCGUAGGCGGCAUGACAAGUCACUUGUGAAAUCUCUGGGCUUAACCCAGAACGGCCAAGUGAUACUGUCGCGCUAGAGUGCAGAAGGGGCAAUCGGAAUUCUUGGUGUAGCGGUGAAAUGCGUAGAUAUCAAGAGGAACACCUGAGGUGAAGACGGGUUGCUGGGCUGACACUGACGCUGAGGCGCGAAAGCCAGGGGAGCAAACGGGAUUAGAUACCCACGUAGUCCCUGAGCGGGCUGGCAAGGCGCAU
rnacentral:rRNA from 1 species